GUUUUGUGGGAAGACAGAAAGAAAUGAGCAGAUUUUACUAAAGUCCUUGUAAGGAUAACAGAUGUUCAGGAAUAGUAUUAAAAUGGUAACUAAGGAGGCUUUGGCUGAGCUCCCAAAGGAGGACCCUGCACAGCUGGGCUCGGCAGGAAGUAACACCCAUCAGGACCUGAGUGGCAGCCCUUCACGGCCCUCUGGCUGAUACUAAUACUUAAACGAGGAAGCCAUGAAGGGGAGCUGUCUGAGGAACAACACAGACUGCCUGCCUUUCUCUCCUCCAGACCCUGCUUGCAGUAGAUCCUAGACUCUGGCUUCUGACCCUGGUUUGUCCUUGACUUUGCUAUUAGAUUGCUAUCUGUAACCUGGCUCAUGACCUUGAUCUCCUGGUAACCUGGCCUUGGCCUGCUUCCCGACACCUGACUCAUGGUUCACCAUAUGGCCUAUCUCUGACCUCAUGGUACAAAUGUACCAAGUACUUGGCCUUAUUAACGAUUCCUGGUCUGACCACUAGGUUUGACUGCCCUUGUCCCAGUCGUGACACUGAUGAUGUAUUUCUCUCUAAGACCAGUUCUGAUUUAUUUGUUGGGCAAAAUGUCAAAC